UGUGAUGACCCCUGCCCCCAAACCUUUCAA
rnacentral:piRNA from 1 species